UAUUAAGGUUGGUGCAAAAGUAAUUGUGAUUUUGGCCAUAAAAUAAUGGCAAAAACCGCAAUUACUCUUGCACCAACCUAAUAAA
rnacentral:miRNA from 1 species